rnacentral:rRNA from 1 species
CAUGUAGGCGGAUUGAUAAGUUUGAAGUGAAAUCCUAUAGCUUAACUAUAGAACUGCUUUGAAAACUGUUAAUCUAGAAUGUGGGAGAGGUAGAUGGAAUUUCUGGUGUAGGGGUAAAAUCGUAGAGAUCAGAAGGAAUACCGAUUGCGAAGGCGAUCUACUGGAACAUUAUUGACGCUGAGAUGCGAAAGCGUGGGGAGCAAACA